rfam:Gossypium hirsutum cultivar TM-1 chromosome 21, whole genome shotgun sequence
UAUUAAAAAUUUCAUACAUUUCUUCUGUUAAAAAGUUGGAAUUGCUAAUAGAAUAACCAAAUAAUUACACGUAGCGUGCCACGUAUGCCUCAUUGUGAAAUAUAGGGGUUAAUUUUUAAUAGUAGAAAUGGAUGAAAUUUUUAAUA